rnacentral:lncRNA from 1 species
GCUGUGGAGUUUUGUUCUUUGCUGGAAAGGUUUGUUCUUUUCUCAUGUAUUUCCUGGAUAUAUAUCCUGGGUUGGACACAGGGCAUAAAAGGAUCUUGCCCUCAAGGGAAUACAGUCUAGGGAAGGAAGCUAGCGGAUUGCCAGGUCGUCCAGUCUGCCAAGAAUGAAGAGUGAAAUGGUAAAUAUCGGGGCCCUGUGUAAGUCACAAGAGAGGUGCCUCCUUCUGAAUUCCAGGCUUGGGGGAAGAUAGAAUAUGUCUCUGGGGGUGUUCCUAAAGGAUGAACAAUCCAUCAGAGAAGAGUGGGAUCGAAGGAUCCAGGUUCUCCAGGUGGGGAGAAGGACAGGGAUGGAAAGGAGAGAGCGGGUUUAUUUGUUGGGAGUCUGCAGUGUCAGGAGAUUUUCACAGAGAUGGGCAGGGGAGUGAGGGUUGGCUUGUCUUGGAUCCGGAGUAGAAAGAAGGGGGAAAGCUGCCCCAGGCUAGGCCUGGGCAAUAGGACAAAUGUGAUUGUCACGUGACACUAAAUUGAGCAUCCUCACCUCCAACAUUACAGAUAAGGAAGUUGAGAUCCAGGUAGCUGCCCUGGACAGAGCAGGGAGUGGGACUCCAGGCUUGACCUAGGCGGAUAGCCCCUCCUGCUGAGAUUCCUCCUCCUCCCAACCUUGCACCUAAACUUAGUAGAGUGUGUGGAUCUGCCAGGAUUGGCUAGCUAGCUGCCUGUCUCAGGGACUCUCCUGUGGAAGGGCUCUUGACCCCCAAGGAUGGUGAUGCACAGUGGGCUCCUGGGGGCUGUGUGUGGAUCCCACAGAGUCCCUGUGAAGAGCAGACCGCACUGGUUGCUGGGUGACUAACUGCUUGUGGGGGUGGGGCUUCUGCCCUUCUCUCUUCUCCCUCUCUCCUCUGGUUUGCCACACAUGUACAUUUGCACACAUGAGCAUACAUCUGUGCAUACACUUGAAUAUCUCCGUUUGCACACUUACACCUCACCCCAGUACCUUUGCACACCACACACCCUGUGCACCUACCUGCGCGUGCACACUCACACAUCUCAAGCACACCUCGUAAGUGUGCACCCACAAACACCUGUGUAGUGGGACGUGCACACAGUGGCUUGUGCCCUCCCGUCACUCUUCUCUCUUCUGUUCCUCCAACAUCCCCUUUCUUUAUUGGAAGACUCCCAGCCUGUGUCCUGCUGUUUGUCUCCCCAGUGCUGGACUGCUUCACAUCUUUCCUGGAGCUGGUUGCAACUAAAGGGUGAGGCUGAGAGGAGACCAUGUUAAGGGCUCUGUGGACAGGAUCUAAGAGGCUACCCUGGGGCAGCCUGUACCUCCCAGGCUGACCUGGCACCCAGUCUCCUGGGCCUCAACCUCUCUCCUUUUGGCGCUGUCCUCUGGGUCUUUAAGCGAGCAAAUACUCCCAAAGGUGGAUCCUGACAGCUUCCAGGACUUCCGCACGGCCCGGGCAAGUCACAAGAUAUAAAUGGCCUCCAGGAGUUGAGUAGUAUGGGGUGGCCCAACCAAGCGUCAGCCCAGGGCCUCUCUGUGGCUUUUGCUUUUUGCUUGGCUCUGCCUCUGUCUCAGGCAGGAGGCCAGGCCUCAAGAGUCAGAGGUUCCUGUCUGAGCGACGAGGUACCUAUCCUGCAUCACCAUACCCUGCCAGCUGGGGCAGGAGCUGCCAUGCCCGACAUAGCAGGGCCUAGCUGCAAGAUAAUGCCAAGCUUGGAACACAGACUUUCCUGGCCACCUACUGUGUACUGGGCACUGUUUCAAGUGUGUUCUGGGUGGUGACUAGGGCAGAGAUUCAGAGGGAGUGUCAUAUUUUGCCCAUUGCACAGUCCACGUGACAUAGCUAGCACAGCGAACACAUUUAAUUUGACUUGAACCCUGGGCAGUCUGGCUCCGUGCUCUCACCACUGAGCCACCCAGUUUUGCCCUGAGCCUUGCUGAGGCUUGCUGGGCUCAUUCUCUGUUCCCAGGCAGUCAGGCACAAGCACCCCAUUCAUUCCAGCCACAGUCUGGCCCAGCUCCUUUGCUUCCAGGACGGGUAGCCAGGGACAUCUCACCUCUAUGAGAGGUCUCCUCCAGCCAUCUCCCCAGACCCCACCAGGAUCUGACUUUUCUCUGUGGGUAUGGAGAGGUGCCAGAAGGGUCAGUCUGGGGUGAAGGAGGGAGAUGUUUGGAAUGACGCUUGCUUGGCCAUGGGGGAGUGGGUAUCUGCUGCCUGCGCCCAAGUGAAAGGGGAGUAGUGAAGGCCUUAGCCUAUAUGGUGACCAGGUCUAGAAUCUUUCCCACACACGGGGUGCUGCACCCCACACAAGGCCUCCUUCCCUCAUUCCACAGGUUUUCUUGCCUUUGGGCAGGUGAGAAAAGUCCUGUUGAGACCAGUUCUUUCAGACCGUGGUUAAGGAUAGUGUUCACCGAACCUAGGAGGUCUGUGGUGCCCAUUUUGGUCUCCCAUGGGUCAUAAGUUUCCUUGGAGGUCAGACCUCAGCCUAACUUACCAGUGCCUCUGCUCUGCAAGGGUGCAGGGAGGCCAUUUCCUGCCUCUCACCCCCACCCCCAGGAGGCUUUGGAUCUUGGCUUCUCUGGCCGGCAGUCAAGGGGAGCUCCUGGAAGGGAGCUUCGCGUUGUGCACGGAUGGGUGCCCGCAUACCCUUUCUGAUCCCCGUUUUCUCUCCUUUCAUGGGAGCUUCCCCUGCUUUAAGAGCAUUUUGAAAAAGACAAGGGAGAAGGAGCAGAGAAGGAUGAAAGGCUGAGCCAACCUCGAACCUCAAAUCGAGUGCUACUAGAAAUCCUCUCAUUUGCCUCUGCUGUGGGGACUGCUGAACAGUGGGACAGGAAGUGCGCACACGGAGGACUCUGUGCACCUGAGUGCUUGUAUAGAAACCGUGUUCGUGCAGGAACCUGCAGGGGUCAGAAGAUUGGUGGGAGCCCCUGGAACUGGAGUUACAGGUGGAUUUGAGCUAGCAUGGGUGCUGGGAGCUGAACCCUCACCCUCUGCAAGAGCAACAUGUGAUCUUAACUGCUGGGCUACCUCUCUGUCCCCACAGGACCUCUUCUGAGCUGAGCUGCACCUGAGAUGAAACGGCAGGAUCAUAAAGGGACCAGCACCGUGAGUCAGGGCUUGAAGCAUAAUUGUACAUAAUUAAAUAUUCGAAUGUUACCACGGGACGGGCAAGACACUUCCUCAGUGACAGGUGAGGCCCUUCCUCAGGUGAAGGCACUUGUCCUGGAAGCCUAGAGACCUGAGCUCAUCCCUGGAAACUGUGUAAAAGUGGAAGUUGUUCUCGGACCUCCACAUGUGUGCCAGCCCCAAAUAGUAACUUUGUAAAGGUUGCCACUUAGCCCUAUGGUGGAAUGCUAGCCAGAACCGGAAAGAGCAGAGCCGUGGAUAGGGUCGGUAACAAAGAACCUUCAAAGCUUGGAAAUAGUCCCACGACCAUACACAGGAAGCCCAAACCUGUCAGAUGGAUCGUUCUUGUUUUUUCGAGACAGGGUUUCUCUGUGUAGCCUUGGCUGUCCUGGAACUCACUCUGUAGACCAGGCUGACCUCGAACUCAGAAAUCCACCUGUCUCUGCCUCCCAAGCGCUGGGAUUAAAGGUGUGCCCCACCAGUGCUUGGCCAGAUGGACCCUUAAGACUGGUGACUUUUAGCCAGGCAUGGAGGCUCAACUCCUUCAAUCCCAGCACUCUAGAGGUCAGCCUGGUCUACAGAGCUAGUUCUAGGAUAGCCAGGGCUACACAGAAAAACCCUGCCUGGGAGUGAAAAGUGGCUAAUAACUUUUUUUUUAAAGAUUUAUUUAUUUACUAUAUUUACAUAUAUAAGUAAGUACACUGUAGCUGUCCUCAGAUACUCCAGAAGAGGGCAUCAGAUUUUAUUACGGAUGGUUGUGAGCCACCAUGUGGUUGCUGGGAUUUGAACUCAGGACCUUCAGAAGAGCAGUCGGCGCUCUUAACCACUGAGCCAUCUCGCCAGCCUGGCUAAUAACUUUUAUUGGUGUGCCAUUACACCUCAAUGACAUUUUGUUUUCCUUUCUUCCUUCCCCCCUCCCCACCUAGCUCCCACUAAGCUCCUGCCAACCCUGGACACCCCCCCCCUUUUCAGUACAUCUGUCAUACAUUUCUCUUGGGAGAUGCUACAAGGUGAGCAAGAAGAGAGCUGUUUGGGUGAGGAUUAUGAAGGGCCAGAAACCAUGGAAACGACUCAGAAAGGCCCCCCCUCCCCAAGUUGCAUCCUCUAGGAUGGAUGCUCUGCUGCCAUUGGCUGGCAGUCUGUGCCUCUCCUUAUUGUGACUGUGACUUUUAUUUAUUUUUCUCCAUUGCAUCUCCCCAUCUCUCUUGCACUUUCUCACGGGCUACUCUACUCUACUCAAGCCCUAUUCGGGAACCUGCAAGAUCAGUAGGAAAAAGGCACAUGGCUUUGUCCUUGGUUCUCGAUGUUUUGGGCUUCUGGUACUCUAGUGUGCUGCGCUGGCUGCUGGGACCAGUGUUGAUGUCAGAAGCUGAUAGCGAGCCUGGGGGUUGUGAGUGGCGGAGAGGGAGGGAGCUGCUUCUCCACAGGUGCGAUGGCUGCAGAAGUAACUUAACUUUAACUUUAACUCCUCUCUAAAAAGCCCUCUGAGGGCUGAAGGGUCAGUGGGCUCUAUAGGUUGCUCAUGAACAUCAAAGGGCUGUGGGUAGCCUGAAUCUCCCUAAGUUGUAGUUGCUAUAAGUGUAUUGUGUGGGUUGUGUGCAUCCCUACCUGAAUAUAAGGGUCAGAUGUGCUCUGGAUUUCAUGUUUUCUAGUUUUAACAUAUUUGCAUAAACCCUGCUGAUUAGGUACCUUCCCCAUCUGAAGCUAUGAGCCCGCAGUGCUCCCAUCUGAAGCCAAGUGCUUAGCCUGAGUGAGCUUCACCAGCCCCGCCCACAGCUCCAUCUUAGCCAACUCUCCUUCCAUGGACUAGUAAUUGGAGGGAGGGUUCCAGCCCUGAUAGCUCAGCUGAGUUGGAAGCCCAGCACCCCUGUGUUUUACCCCUGGGCCCCCCGAAUAGAAGAGAAGAGAGAAUAGAAGAGAAGAUGCUCUCACCAAUUGUCCUUCUGCCCUCCACUUUUAUGCUUUCCCAACUAAAUAAAUAGAAAAUGUGUAAAAGGUGAGAUGUGACUGAAAAAUACAACUGAUAUCUACCUCUGGUUUUCACAUACAUACAUGUACACACAUACAUGCAUGCACACACACAGAUACACACAUGCACAUGCAUUCACGCAUGCAAGCAGACACAUACAUGGGCGCACACACAGAGAAUCCCUUACGUUGACCUCUGUCCUGAUACAUUUUGUUUGUUUGUUUGUUUGUUUGAGACAGGAUCUCAUGCAGCCCAGGCUGGCUUCUGACUCACUGGGUAGCAGGGUAUAUAUAUAUAGCCUUGAACUAAUCCUGCUUCCUCUGCCUCUGAGGUGCUGAGAUUCAGGUGUUCACCCACAUGCUCGGAUUUUCCUCAUCAUGUUUAUAUCCUGCUUGGAAAGCUGACAGACAGUGCAGAUGUCACUCCGCUUCACCGCCCAGAUGUCUCUCGGCUGCACAGCAGGAGAAAACAGAUCCUGAACAGAGUUGGGGUUACACGUCUGAGUCUGGGGCCCAGAACCCUGCUCCAGGCUUUGCCAAGCUGGGUUGAUUUGGGGGUUGAGGGAUCUGCUGAGUCUGGCUAUUGAGGCUUUGGGGCUUAUUCCCCAGGAAGUCAUGACAUAUGGUCAAGGGAAGUCAUUCAAACAGAGAGAGGUAGUCAUAGAAAGACAGGUUUGUUGUUGUCUUUCUUCAAAAGGCAAGUUUGAGCUCCCUGAACAGCUUACACAUGAGCAUACACAUGCGUAAAUACACACCUGUACAUACACAUGCACGUGUGCGUGCGCGUGUGCGCACGCGCGCGCACACACACACACACACACGCACGCACGCACACACGCACGCACGCACGCAGACACACACACACACACACACACACACACACUUUGGGAUUGGAUCCAUUACUGGGAGAGUGCUGACUUUGGCUCCCCUGGUGUUUGUUUCUUCUGCUGCUAUGUGCUCUGUCUUGCAUGUGAGAUGCUGCUUGUGUGAGACCCUCACUAGAGGCUGACAGGGUGACAUGCUCCCAGAUGUCCCAAAUCUCUUUUCUUUAUAAUUUUUCAGCCUCAGACCUUUGUGAUAGUAACAGAAAAUGGACUAAGACACCCAUUAAGCCAUCAAAAGUCAUUCUAGUGAGGUUGAUGAUUUUUUUUUUUUUUUUUUUUUUUGCUUAAGAAUGAAACCAUUGCUGGGAGGUGGUGGUAUACACCUUUAAUCCCUCCACUUGGGAGGCAGAAGGUAGUCAGAUCUUUGUGAAUUUGCAGCCAGCCUGGUCUACAAAGCAAGUUCCAGGACAGCCAGAGCUAUGUAGAGAGAGAAACCCUGUCUCAAACAGGGGGGUAGGGUGGGAAAAGAACCAUUAUUUUGCAUACUGAUCUAAAAAUCAUUUUAUUAUUGUCAUGGUUUGAAAGUGAAUGGUGGGUGCCCAGUUGGUGGAACUGUUUGGGAAGGAUUAGGGGGUGUGGCCUUGUUAGAGGAGGUGUGUCACUCAGGGCUGGUUUUGAGGUUUCAAAAGCCCAUGAUGUUCCAGUUAGCUUUCUCUGCCUCCUACUUUUGGUUAAGGCUAUAGGCUCUCAGCUUACUCAUCCAGCGCCAUGCCUGCCUGCUGCAGUGCUUUCCCCACCAUGACGGUCAUAGACUCAGCCUCUGCAACUCUGAGUCCUAAGUUAUACUUGGUCAUGGUGUUUUGUCACAGCAAUUGAAAAAUAGCGAUGACAAUUAUCUUGCUAUUCUAUGAAUUGUCUGGGCUCAGCUAGGAGGGCCUUGUGCUGCAGCCAGGAACAUAUUUGAUGGAGUUAGAGUCCUCAAGACACCUCUCAGGACUGGUAUUUAGUGCUGAGUGUUGGCUGGUCAUUUGGCAGGGCUGAGAUCGGAGGGACUUUGGCCUUCUCAGGAUGCUCUGAGGGGAAAGAUUAUCUAAGUCGACGGUUCUCAACCUUCCUAAUGCUAUGACUCUUUGAUACAGUUCCUCAUGGUGUGGUGAUACCCAACCAUAAAAUUAUGUUUGUUGCUACUUCAUAUCUUUAAUUUUGCUAGUGUUGUGAAGCAUAAUGUAAAUAUCUGAUAUGCAGGAUACCUGAUACGAGACCUUUGUGAAAGGGUCGCAACCCACAGAUUGAGAACCACUGCCCUAGGCCAUCCCUGAAGGAAAGAGGAGAUAGGGGAGGAAGUAGGAGAGGCUGGCCUCCUCAACACUAGACCUGAGCUCUGGGUUGUCUGGCUCCAUUGGACUGUCUGAACUCAUGUAUCUGACAGACCUCUGGCUGCAGUGGACUGUCUGAUGCUUGCGAUCAUAACUGGAGGACCUGUCUAUUGUCGAGGCGCCGCCCUCAGCUUCCUUUCUCGGGUUUCUCCCCUGCCCGCCCCGCCCCCUGCCUUUCCUUCUUGAUGCCUCUCCUUCAGCUUCUGUUCAUUUUUUCCCUUGCCUCGUUGCUCUUGGGAAGCUAUCUGCUGUUCCCAACCUCACCUGUGCCGAGGACCCUCUUGGGCCAACCUAAGCCUGAGCGACAGUCCUAAAUGUCCCGUCCCUCUCCUGACCUAAAGCAGAAUUAAUCACCUCCCUCAGAGGGUGCAAAGGCUGUCUGCGCCCCAACUCUCUGCUGUGUGGUUCCUCUUUCCACCAAUCUCCCUGGCUUCCCACUCACAUCAGGCCCUCCAGGGCAUUCCUGGAGGACAGAACAAGCACCACUGGAUCGUCAGAAACCAAGGUGGAAGUCACAGAGGGCGUGAGAGGAAAUGCCCUGGUCCCAGGCUUUCUGGGAAGCAGAGAGAGAAGGCUGGUUAAAAUAAAGAUGGAAGGCGGGGUACGCAGCCCAGCUUGGCUGGAAACCACACUGGUUCAAGCCGAGAGGCCCCAGGAAUGGCAAGCAGCUUCUCCUUGCUCAAAGGAAUUUUUCUGGAAACCAUAAUGGCCGCUGUUUCUAACCGCAGCCUGUCCUUUUUGGCUGAAUCGGUGCAUGCGUGUGGUCAUGGCGGCCAGGCUGGAGCCGGCCCGGGAGUUUCUGCAAUCUGAGCCCCUCCGUGCUGACAAGUGGGGCCCGGUAUUCCUGGACAAGGAACAGGCCCUGCCUUCCCUCUUUCAGCAGAGAGAAAGGUUCUUCGACCGUCUGCUGAACCCAGUCUCUGGGUCUCUCAUAUUCAUUUUUCAUUAGCAGAAGCGGGAUCAGAGGAGCUCCGGACUUGCUCGGCGUCAAGGCGGUAAUUUUGCCAGGGUGGCUGACUGCACAGGGCUCUGGUUGCUGUAAGCACAGGAUGGCUGAGCUGGGCCUGUCAUAGCCUGGCUUUCCCCCUCCUACAUAAUAACAUUGCUCCUGAGGUCAAAGGUGCUGUCGGACAAGAGGGUCCCCACACAGUAUCUGCAUGAUGCCAGCCAUUUGCAUGAACAGCAGCCAGCUGACAGAUGGCCCAUGCAGCCAGGCGCCUGCGCACCAUCAAAUCAUUUACUUUUUUUUUUUUUUUAAAUUUUUACAUAUUUGUAUGGUUAUCAUAUUUAAGUAGCAAUGCUAUGUAUAUGUACUACAUAUAUACAUAUAUAUGUAUAUGUACGUAUAUAUGUGAACAGUAUAGUUGUAUAUGUGUAAUAUAGAUAUAUAUGCACAAUGGAGAGCAAGGUCCUCAGAAACAUGGUGCCAAGAGUCUUUUAAAAUGAUCUCAUUAUGAAAAGUUUAUGCAUUUAUCAAACACACAGCUGUGUAUGCCCUGCUAUGCCAGGGUAGACUUCCUGGGAGUCCAAUGAACUGGAGUUUCAGGGCCUUUUCUGUGCCUUGGGAGGCACCCAGGGAGGGUACACCACUGUCAUAUGGCCUAAUAUAUUUUGCAAAAAAAAAACCCAAACCAAACCAAAAACAAAACAGUAACAAAAAAGUUUUUAAAGUUCUUCUCUUAAAGGGCCCUCCACAUAUGCGAGCUUCAGUCUUGAGCUUUCUGGUCCCUACUUGGUAGACAUGGGAAAGAAGAGCCUGGGUCUGUCCUCCCCCCAACUCUCAGACUAGAGUCUGAAGGCGGGCUCAGGACUCAGAGCGCUUCAGUUGUUCCUCCCUAACUGCUCAGCCUGGGUUUCCUACCCCUGGCCAAGCAAAAUUCAUAGGACUUUGCGUUAUAGAGUAUGGGAAGGCCCCGAAGCCAGGCUCCCUUCUGCUCCCAGGUAGCCAGGGCUUCUGUUUGGCUUCUUUUACUUCCUGGUGACCAGUGUGGGUCCCUGAAAGUCUAUCUCCAGAGGGAAGCUGCUCUAAUCCUUUGCUGGGGAGAAGAUGAGGGUGCAGGGCCUGUUCAAUCCCUUCCCUUUCCCAGUUGGUUCCUGCCAGCUCUCCUUCCGAGUAACCACUAUUGGCUUGUCAAGUAAGGCUCCGUGUGUUCUGUAACCUGAUUCCCUCUAAGACAUUUGCCCUACAUGGCAGGCUGGGAAUUUUGUCCCAUGGGACAAGCUAGGUAAUUGUGAGGGUUAGUUUUAAUUGUCAACUAUGUUAAAACCAACCUAAAGUCACCUGGGAAGAGAGUCUCAGUGAGGGACUGUCUAUAUUAGGUGGCCAUGUUGGGGGAGGUGUCUUAAUUAUGUUAACUGAUAUAGGAUUUCCUAGCCCACUGUGGGUGGCACCAUUCCUUAGGCAGGUGAGUAGAGAAGUCAAGUUGAGCAUAAUCAAGCAAGCAUGUGAGCAUGCAUGUGUCCAUCUCUCUCUGCUCUCAACUGUGGAUGCGAUGUGACUGGUUCUUUCAAUCUGCUCCUGCUGUGACU